UCUUUGUGAUGAGAUCUUUGUCCAGUUCUGCUACUGAGUAAAACUGAAGCAAAUGAAGACUCUGAGAGA